UAAUUCUAGAGCUAAUACAUGCAAAAAUGCCUGACUUUUAGGAAGGGCAGUAUUUAUUAGAUAUCAGCCAAUGGCCUCCGGGCAUUGUGGUGAAUCAUAGUAACUAAGCGGAUCGCAUAGGCAUUGCCGGCGACAAACCAUUCAAGUUUCUGCCCCAUCAGCUUUCGAUGGUAGUGUAUUGGACUACCAUGGCUUUUACGGGUGACGGAGGAUUAGGGUUCGAUUCCGGAGAGGGAGCCUGAGAAACGGCUACCACAUCCAAGGAAGGCAGCAGGCGCGUAAAUUACCCAAUCCUGACUCAGGGAGGUAGUGACAAGAAAUAGCGGACCGGGCAUCUGCUCGGGACU
rnacentral:rRNA from 1 species